GGACCGAGAUUUUUCCCUACCUUAUUGUAGCAACUAUUGCAUCUUUAGGAUUGAUACCAGCUUUCAUACACGAGGCAGGGCAAUGGGCAGCACGGCCUCUCCUCAUCCUCCUGCAGCUGAUUCACAGCCCUGAACGCGAGCAGAGAAUGAGGCCGGUACCACUCUGAGCUUGAGGAAGGUGAACUCAACACUGAAAACCUGGCGAGAGAAAAUGCCUCAGCCAACGGAGGGAAGCGAGGCCCCGGUCCCAGUUUCCCCGUGAUGCUGAAUUUCUCUUCCCGCCACUCUGCCCCAGGUGUCGAAGCCCCACACGGAGCCGAGGUAACUCGUGCUGAGGGCCCUGAUAUUUUCAGUGAGUAAAAUAAACCCGUCUCGCUUC